rnacentral:rRNA from 1 species
AUUGAACGCUGGCGGCAUGCUUUACACAUGCAAGUCGAACGGUAACAGGCCGCAAGGUGCUGACGAGUGGCGAACGGGUGGGUAAUGCAUCGGAACGUGCCCAGUCGUGGGGGAUAACGCAGCGAAAGCUGUGCUAAUACCGCAUACGAUCUAUGGAUGAAAGCGGGGGACCGUAAGGCCUCGCGCGAUUGGAGCGGCCGAUGUCAGAUUAGGUAGUUGGUGGGGUAAAGGCCUACCAAGCCGACGAUCUGUAGCUGGUCUGAGAGGACGACCAGCCACACGGGGACUGAGACCCGGCCCAGACUCCUACGGGAGGAAGCAGUGGGGAAUUUUGGACAAGGGGCGCAAGCCUGAUCCAGCAAUGCCGCGUGCAGGAAGAAGGCCUUCGGGUUGUAAACUGCUUUUGUACGGAACGAAACGGCCUGGGUUAAUACCCUGGGCUAAUGACGGUACCGUAAGAAUAAGCACCGGCUAACUACGUGCCAGCCGCCGCCGUAAAAC